AGACGUUAGCGGCGGACGGGUGAGUAACACGUGGAUAACCUACCUAUAAGACUGGGAUAACUUCGGGAAACCGGAGCUAAUACCGGAUAACAUAUUGAACCGCAUGGUUCAAUAGUGAAAGGCGGCUUUGCUGUCACUUAUAGAUGGAUCCGCGCCGUAUUAGCUAGUUGGUAAGGUAACGGCUUACCAAGGCAACGAUACGUAGCCGACCUGAGAGGGUGAUCGGCCACACUGGAACUGAGACACGGUCCAGACUCCUACGGGAGGCAGCAGUAGGGAAUCUUCCGCAAUGGGCGAAAGCCUGACGGAGCAACGCCGCGUGAGUGAUGAAGGUCUUCGGAUCGUAAAACUCUGUUAUCAGGGAAGAACAAAUGUGUAAGUAACUGUGCACAUCUUGACGGUACCUGAUCAGAAAGCCACGGCUAACUACGUGCCAGCAGCCGCGGUAAUACGUAGGUGGCAAGCGUUAUCCGGAAUUAUUGGGCGUAAAGCGCGCGUAGGCGGUUUUUUAAGUCUGAUGUGAAAGCCCACGGCUCAACCGUGGAGGGUCAUUGGAAACUGGAAAACUUGAGUGCAGAAGAGGAAAGUGGAAUUCCAUGUGUAGCGGUGAAAUGCGCAGAGAUAUGGAGGAACACCAGUGGCGAAGGCGACUUUCUGGUCUGUAACUGACGCUGAUGUGCGAAAGCGUGGGGAUCAAACAGGAUUAGAUACCCUGGUAGUCCACGCCGUAAACGAUGAGUGCUAAGUGUUAGGGGGUUUCCGCCCUCUUAGUGCUGCAGCUAACGCAUUAAGCACUCCGCCUGGG
rnacentral:rRNA from 1 species